GAUGAACGCUGGCGGCGUGCCUAAUACAUGCAAGUAGAACGCUGAAGGAGGAGCUUGCUCUUCUGGAUGAGUUGCGAACGGGUGAGUAACGCGUAGGUAACCUGCCUGGUAGCGGGGGAUAACUAUUGGAAACGAUAGCUAAUACCGCAUGACAACAGUUAUUGCAUGAUAACUGUUUAAAAGGGGCAACUGCUCCACUACCAGAUGGACCUGCGUUGUAUUAGCUAGUUGGUGAGGUAACGGCUCACCAAGGCGACGAUACAUAGCCGACCUGAGAGGGUGAUGGGCCAAACUGGGAAUGAGACACGGCCCAGACUCCUACGGGAGGCAGCAGUAGGGAAUCUUCGGCAAUGGACGGAAGUCUGACCGAGCAACGCCGCGUGAGUGAAGAAGGUUGUCGGAUCGGAAAGCUCUGUUGUAAGAGAAGAACGAGUGUGAGAGUGGAAAGUUCACACUGUGACGGUAUCUUACCAGAAAGGGACGGCUAACUACGUG
rnacentral:rRNA from 1 species